CAGCAGCCACGGGAAUACGGAAGGUCCAGGCGCUAUCCGGAUUUAUUGGGUUUAAAGGGAGCGUAGGCGGAUUGUUAAGUCAGCGGUUAAAGGGUGUGGCUCAACCAUACAUUGCCGUUGAAACUGGCGAUCUUGAGUGCAGACAGGGAUGCCGGAAUUCGUGGUGUAGCGGUGAAAUGCUUAGAUAUCGCGAAGAACUCCGAUCGCGAAGGCAGGUGUCCGGGCUGCAACUGACGCUGAGGCUCGAAAGUGUGGGUAUCAAACAGGAUUAGAUACCCGAGUAGUCCCUGUCUCUUAUACA
rnacentral:rRNA from 1 species